AGUAAAGUAAGCUAAAUAAGCUCUUGGGCCCAUACCCCGAAUAUGAUGGUUAAAACCUGUCCUUUACUU
rnacentral:tRNA from 1 species